rnacentral:rRNA from 1 species
UACAGAGGUCCCAAGCGUUGUUCGGAUUCACUGGGCGUAAAGGGUGCGUAGGCGGUUUGGCAAGUCUGAUGUGAAAUCCCGCAGCUUAACUGCGGAACUGCAUUGGAAACUGUUUGACUAGAGGAAUGGAGGGGAGACUGGAAUACUUGGUGUAGCAGUGAAAUGCGUAGAUAUCAAGUGGAACACCAGUGGCGAAGGCGAGUCUCUGGACAUUUCCUGACGCUGAGGCACGAAAGCCAGGGGAGCAAACGGG